rnacentral:rRNA from 1 species
UGGGGAAUAUUGCACAAUGGGGGAAACCCUGAUGCAGCGACGCCGCGUGAGUGAAGAAGUAAUUCGUUACGUAAAGCUCUAUCAGCAGGGAAGAAAAUGACGGUACCUGAGUAAGAAGCCCCGGCUAACUACGUGCCAGCAGCCGCGGUAAUACGUAGGGGGCAAGCGUUAUCCGGAUUUACUGGGUGUAAAGGGAGCGUAGACGGUGCGCCAAGUCUGGAGUGAAAUGCCGCAGCUUAACUGCGGAACUGCUUUGGAAACUGGCGAACUGGAGUGCGGGAGGGGUAAGCGGAAUUCCUAGUG